CAAUUGUUGAAUUUUAACCAUUUUAGAAGUUCUGAUCAAAACAAAGGAAACGGUUAAAAUUCAAUCAUUAAAAUGGAAGAAAGUUUGUUUGUUUUCAUUUUCAAAACGCGUUCAAAGUGUUUGCGAGUUUUGCAGCGCAUUUAUUCUCCGUUUUUUUGCUUCCUUAAUGUUCUUUCCGGGCAAGCUUUAUAUUCGCGGAACUGGAGAAGAUCCAAGAAGCAGCUUCAGCGGAACAAAUGAAUCUCGACGAAGCUCACCGAAAUGCGACUGGAACUUGGAGAUGUUUGAUUACCAGCCCAGAAGAAAGGUGUGAAAAUGGAGGUGAUGAAGAUGGACGGGAGUUGGUCCUACCGUCGGCAGUGGAGAGGGUGACAAAAAUAAAAAACUUGGAGGCUCGACCAGCAUUCCAUUGCGAUUGUAUUUUUGGGAUGGGUUCCCAUGAAAAUUUUCUGGAUAAAAAAGGAAGCAAUGGGUGUCAAUGGAAACGGAAAUCCAUAUUAACAAAGCUUAAAUUAAAAUAUGGUUUGAUUGAUCCUGGAUCUUCCUGACACGAUUGACGCAAAAGAGAUGUUCCGAUUUUUUUUCGAGAGA